rnacentral:ncRNA from 1 species
UGGUGGGUAGUUUGACUGGGGCGGUCUCCUCCCAAAGAGUAACGGAGGAGCACGAAGGUUGGCUAAUCCUGGUCGGACAUCAGGAGGUUAGUGCAAUGGCAUAAGCCAGCUUGACUGCGAGCGUGACGGCGCGAGCAGGUGCGAAAGCAGGUCAUAGUGAUCCGGUGGUUCUGAAUGGAAGGGCCAUCGCUCAACGGAUAAAAGGUACUCCGGGGAUAACAGGCUGAUACCGCCCAAGAGUUCAUAUCGACGGCGGUGUUUGGCACCUCGAUGUCGGCUCAUCACAUCCUGGGGCUGAAGUAGGUCCCAAGGGUAUGGCUGUUCGCCAUUUAAAGUGGUACGCGAGCUGGGUUUAGAACGUCGUGAGACAGUUCGGUCCCUAUC